UCUCCGUUGGUGGACCAGCGGAGGGAUCAUUACCGAGUGCAAACUCAUAACCCUUUGUGAACCUAUAUCUGUUGCUUCGGCGGCUCGCUCUCGGGCGAGCCCGCCGGUAAUAUCAGUAUCUCUGUUUGAACCCGACGAUACUUCUGAGUGUUCUUAGCGAACAGUUAAAACUUUUAACAACGGAUCUCUUGGCUCUAGCAUCAUGAAGAACGCAGC
rnacentral:misc_RNA from 1 species